AGCAAACGCACACACACUCUUCACAGCACACACACACUCCUGUAGGACACACACACUAAACACACACACACACACACACACACACACCGAUAAUCAGACAGGUGGAUGACUGGGCCGGGAGCAGAUUCUGCACGGAACCGACAAGAACAGAGGAGAGAACGUGGGCUGAGGCGGAACACGCCACACAGGAAGAGCUGAGCGGGAGAUGGUGGAACCCAGGAUCUUCUAGCGCCGUGUGUGUGUGUGAGGGAGAGAGAGUCUUCUGUCCGAGAGGGGAGCACCUCCAUCUCAACUCAGAAAUCAGCGGAACCCAAUCUACAGCUAUGGAGUUGAAUGCGCUGGGCCUGCUGGUGGGCGGGACUCUCCUCCUGUCCAUCAUCAUGCUGAUUGGCCAGUGCCUGAGCUGCAGGAGACACCCCAAUGUCAUCAACCAACGGCCAGACGAUUCAGACUACACACAGUAAGACUGACCCCCGUGUGUGUGUGUGUGUGUGUGUGUGUGUGUGUGUA
rnacentral:lncRNA from 1 species